rnacentral:rRNA from 1 species
AGUGAACGCUGGCGGUAGGCCUAACACAUGCAAGUCGAACGGCAGCACAGUAAGAGCUUGCUCUUACGGGUGGCGAGUGGCGGACGGGUGAGGAAUACAUCGGAAUCUACUUUUUCGUGGGGGAUAACGUAGGGAAACUUACGCUAAUACCGCAUACGACCUACGGGUGAAAGCAGGGGAUCUUCGGACCUUGCGCGAUUGAAUGAGCCGCUGUCGGAUUAGCUAGUUGGCGGGGUAAAGGCCAACCAAGGCGACGAUCCGUAGCUGGUCUGAGAGGAUGAUCAGCCACACUGGAACUUAGACACGGUCCAGACUCCUACGGGAGGCAGCAGUGGGGAAUAUUGGACAAUGGUCGCAAGCCUGAUCCAGCCAUACCGCGUGUGUGAAGAAGGCCUUCGGGUUGUAAAGCCCUUUUGUUGGGAAAGAAAAGCAGCAGGUUAAUACCCCGCUGUUCUGACGGUACCCAAAGAAUAAGCACCGGCUAACUUCGUG